rnacentral:lncRNA from 1 species
UGUUAAUCGUCAGAUUUAAUGAGCCUGCUUGUCUUUGCAUUCUCUUCCAUGCAUAGGCAGAAUAAUUUGGCUCUCAUGUUAAAUGCCUGCUGACACAAAGAAGGCGAUUUUUUUUGCUCUUUUCUUCCACUUUUGACGGGGAACUAAUACAGGAUGCACAACAAUUUAUGGCACGAAGCCUUCCUCAGAGACAAUCAAUAAAAGAGGACGGUUACUGCUCCCAUGAAAUAAGCCUCGCAGAUGACUAUUUCCAGCCCCUGGCUGAAGUCAGGAUGAGACAGACGGAAUUAAUAGAUGAGGUCCUGCCAGAGCACAGAGACGCUGCCUGCCAGCUGUUGGACAACAAUGAAUAUUUAACUCCGAGGCUAAAAGUUUCACUUUAUUUUCAUCCAGACAGGCGACUCGCCUAUUUUCUUCUGGAAACUGACGGGUAUAUGGGUUGCUUUCUUCGAGACAAGCUGGAGGGCUAUGAAUCAUCACUUCUGUGCCACAGCUGCCCGGGCAGGGGAGCUACCAGCCUUCCUCCAGGCGGCAUCAUUCCCUGCUCUCGAGAGUUGACUUUCGCUACAGUUUCACGGUGGUCAUUAGUCCUCUCCUGUCUUCUACUAGAAAGCAACCAUACCCCGAGUAUUAUCCGAAGGAGCAAUAACCACGGAAAUGUAAGCUAAGCCUUUUUUUUAAUUAAAG